rnacentral:rRNA from 1 species
UACGUAGGGUGCAAGCGUUAAUCGGAAUUACUGGGCGUAAAGCGUGCGCAGGCGGUGAUGUAAGACAGAUGUGAAAUCCCUGGGCUCAACCUAGGAACUGCGUUUGAAACUACAAGGCUAGAGUGUAGCAGAGGGGGGGGUAGAAUUCCACGUGUAGCAGUGAAAUGCGUAGAGAUGUGGAGGAAUACCGAUGGCGAAGGCAGCCCCCCUGGGAUAACACUGACGCUCAUGCACGAAAGCGUGGGGGAGCAAACAGG